ACGGCGGGACGGGGUCGGAGGUAACGCGUGGGUAACCUGCCUCAUACAGGGGGAUAACAGUUAGAAAUGACUGCUAAUACCGCAUAAGACCACAGCACCGCAUGGUGCAGGGUAAAAACUCCGGUGGUAUGAGAUGGACCCGCGUCUGAUUAGCUAGUUGGUAAGGUAACGGCUUACCAAGGCGACGAUCAGUAGCCGACCUGAGAGGGUGACCGGCCACAUUGGGACUGAGACACGGCCCAA
rnacentral:rRNA from 1 species